rnacentral:misc_RNA from 1 species
UCCCCGUUACCGGGGCAGUCUGGCUAGAAAAAUUCAACUAACCAUAGGGGUUGCGCUCGUUGAUGGACUUAACCAAACAUCUCACGACACGAGCUGACGACGGCCAUGCAUCACCUGUCACUGCGGCCCGAAGGCACAUCCGCCUUUCGGCGGACUUGGCAGGAUGUCAAGCCUUGGUAAGGUUCUUCGCUUAUCGUCGAAUUAAACAACACGCUCCACCGCUUGUGCGGGUCCCCGUCAAUUCCUUUAUGUUUUAGCCUUGCGGCCGUACUCCACAGGCGGGAUGCUUAACGCGUUAGCUUCGCUACUGACCGGGUCGAUACGGCCAACAGCUAGCAUCCAUCGUUUACGGCGUGGACUAC